UCCCACGAUGCCGGCUGCUGCCUGCGCUGCUGCCAUGCCCGGACGGGGAGGCCCAGGAGCUGACCGACCGACAGUCUGGGAGCUGCCUGCCCGCUCGCCGACGCCGGCCCCGCUGCGCCCUGCCCCCCGCCGGUGAUGCGAGCGCAGCGAUGGGGAUGCUCAGGGAGAGCACGAUACAGCUUUGACUCCAGUGAGCCACGCAGCACUGUACAGUCAAAUAUGAUUGCAGUGAGCAGUACGAGAGGAGGCUUGUGCUGACUUCUGGAAACAGAGAUGCCGUCCACAGGGGAGCAGCUCAGGCAUCACACCUAUCUUCUGGAAA